UCGUAUGUUGGUACGUACGAUGCUAAACAACGGCAGAGAAAUGUUACUGAGGCGAGGAAGCAUCAGCAACUAAAACCCACCAAAAACCCCUUUUUUUGAAAAAUAAAAAAAUUAUACCAAGUUUUCCGUAGGUGACCUGCGGAAGGAUCAUU
rnacentral:rRNA from 1 species